rnacentral:rRNA from 1 species
CCUACGGGGGGCAGCAGUGGGGAAUAUUGGACAAUGGGGGCAACCCUGAUCCAGCCAUGCCGCGUGUGUGAAGAAGGCCCUCGGGUUGUAAAGCACUUUCAGUGAGGAAGAACGCCUGGUGGUUAAUACCCAUCAGGAAAGACAUCACUCACAGAAGAAGCACCGGCUAACUCCGUGCCAGCAGCCGCGGUAAUACGGAGGGUGCGAGCGUUAAUCGGAAUUACUGGGCGUAAAGCGCGCGUAGGUGGCUUGAUAAGCCGGUUGUGAAAGCCCCGGGCUCAACCUGGGAACGGCAUCCGGAACUGUCAAGCUAGAGUGCAGGAGAGGAAGGUAGAAUUCCCGGUGUAGCGGGGAAAUGCGUAGAGAUCGGGAGGAAUACCAGUGGCGAAGGCGGCCUUCUGGACUGACACUGACACUGAGGUGCGAAAGCGUGGGUAGCAAACAGGAUUAGAUACCCUGGUAGUC